AGUGAACGCUGGCGGCAGGCCUAACACAUGCAAGUCGAACGGCAGCACAGGAGAGCUUGCUCUCUGGGUGGCGAGUGGCGGACGGGUGAGGAAUAUAUCGGAAUCUACCCUUUCGUGGGGGAUAACGUAGGGAAACUUACGCUAAUACCGCAUACGAACUGAGGUUGAAAGCGGCGGACCGCAAGGCGUCGCGCGGAUGGUUGAGCCGAUAUCCGAUUAGCUAGUUGGCGGGGUAAAAGCCCACCAAGGCGACGAUCGGUAGCUGGUCUGAGAGGAUGAUCAGCCACACUGGAACUGAGACACGGUCCAGACUCCUACGGGAGGCAGCAGUGGGGAAUAUUGGACAAUGGGGGCAACCCUGAUCCAGCCAUGCCGCGUGUGUGAAGAAGGCCUUUUGGUUGUAAAGCACUUUAAGCAGGGAGGAAGAGCAGCUAGUGAUAACCUAGCUGUGGUGACGUUACCUGCAGAAUAAGCACCGGCUAACUCUGUGCCAGCAGCCGCCGUAA
rnacentral:rRNA from 1 species